UGGGGAAUUUUGCACAAUGGGGGAAACCCUGAUGCAGCGACGCCGCGUGAUUUAGAAGGCCUUCGGGUUGUAAAAAUCUUUUUUACGGGAUGAAAAUGACAGUACCGUAAGAAUAAGGUCCGGCUAAAUACGUGCCAGCAGCCGCGGUAAUACGUAUGGACCGAGCGUUGUCCGGAAUCAUUGGGCGUAAAGGGUACGUAGGCGGCCUAGUAAGUUAGAAGUGAAAUAAUAUAGCUCCACUAUAUAAAGCUUUUAAAACUGCUAGGCUUGAUAGAUGGAAGGGAAGGAGGAAUUCCUAGUGUAGCGGUGAAAUGCGCAGAUAUUAGGAAGCAUACCGGUGGCGAAGGAGGCUUUCUGGUCAUCCUCUGACGAUGAGGUACGAAAGCGUGGGUAGCAAACAGG
rnacentral:rRNA from 1 species